UACGUAGGUGGCAAGCGUUGUCCGGAAUUAUUGGGCGUAAAGCGCGCGCAGGUGGUUCCUUAAGUCUGAUGUGAAAGCCCACGGCUCAACCGUGGAGGGUCAUUGGAAACUGGGGAACUUGAGUGCAGAAGAGGAAAGUGGAAUUCCACGUGUAGCGGUGAAAUGCGUAGAGAUGUGGAGGAACACCAGUGGCGAAGGCGACUUUCUGGUCUGCAGCUGACACUGAGGCGCGAAAGCGUGGGAAGCAAACAGG
rnacentral:rRNA from 1 species